rnacentral:lncRNA from 1 species
CCGGCCCACCCUGGCUGCGCGUGCGCCCUCCCGCCGGGCGCGGCUGAGUGGGCGUUGAGGGAGGUGGUGGAGCCUGAGGAUCUCGUGAGGCUCGUCCGGCGAGUCAGGUCGCCCCUCGUCGAAAUGAGGGGUGUCCUCGGGCGUCAGCCCGCCCGCUCGGUGUGGCAUGUACCCUAGCAUGAUGAUGGCGACUGUCGCAUGGAGUGGAGGUGGUUUAAUAAAUGCUUUCCCCUCCCUGCCCCACCCUGUUGCUGCAGCACACUCCAGGAGUUUGUGCAUCUAACAAUGGCCCUCAUAGUGAAGAGCUUGCUUGGAGUCUCAGAGGAAACUUUGUGCUUGGACUUUUCAGCAAUGCCAGAAUGGACCCUGCUCGCGUCAGUGCUGUCCACUCUGCUGUCCCCUGCACCGCCCCUGGCCGCUCCAAGAAGCUGUGUGUUCAGUAAAGAGUGGCAAGCUCCAGGAGUCAGCGUCUCAGCCUGGGCAGUAUGUCAGCCAACCACAGGAGCAGCAAGAGACAAGAGUGCAGUCUCAUUGGAGUACGCGGCGGCCUCUGGAGUAGGAAAGGAAGCCCCAGCCUGGGUUCCUCGGAGUCUGACAGACACUCAACAUCAUCAUUUUGGAUAUUAAUUAUCCCUGUAAUGUGGCAGUGGAAAAUACAUUUUAAAAGAAUUCUGUUUUGUGCAACUCGGUAAACUGAUGCCUUAAUUUCCCUGCUCUGUGCUGCUUUGGAAACAUCACAAUGGAGUCAGUAAACUGGAGCAGUUUUAAUUGUUUCUUCCCUUUUCCUGGAAGCACAGCCAGGAGCGAAUGGCCUCAUGUAGCUUAACCCCACCCCCGAAUAUAAACACACCUAAGGAUUGACGAGUGAACGUCAGUUCUUCAAGCAAAGCUUGGUAGUGUGGUGCGUGUUGGAGUGACUGUCCAGAAACAGUGUCCUCGGGGCCCUCGGUGUCCUCUCUCCUUGUCACCCUGCUUCCACCCCAGCACGCACUGUCACAAG